UUUUGGGGUUGUCUUUGUAAAUCAUAUUUUACAUUAAAUACAAACAUUAGGGCUUUUUUUUUUUUUUUGGUAAACAGAGGUUGAAUAGCAUGGGAAACAAUUGAUACAUACCAAAUCAAUUGCAAUCCCGAAUAGAUUUGAUGGAUUAUCAUCUGAAUAUCUUUUUUUUUCCUAUUUACGAAUGAGUUUGUUUAGCUGAUGUCAGGACGCGAGAUCACCAAUCUCACUAAUUGGAGCCUACAUAGAGAGAUGGUCUGAUGAUAGGAAUUAUCUACGUUCUGUUCUGGAUGUAAUGUUUAAUGAUAGGAAAGCAAACAGAAAAACAGGCUAGCUAUUGUAUUUCUGCAUAGCUCUUACAAAACCAAGGAAUGGGUGCGGCCAUUACUUGAGAUCAAUAAGGGACGUCCCCAUAUUCAAGGAACGGUUUCAACAUGACAACGAUGGAUGUUGCCGUUAAGGUUCUUACAGAUCAGGACUUUCAUGAGGAUCAGCUGAAGUACUUUCUAAGGGAGGUAUGCAUUUGAAACAUUGCUAAUAAUGUUCUUUGAAACUAUACCCAUAUAUGUAUCUGGAUGUGCAUCGGAGCUAUCUGGAUGUUGAGCGGGGGUCUCUAUAAGCUGGGAACAGCUGUUAUGACCAUGAUGAAGCUGUCCAUUUCCUAUGGACAGCAUUGGAGGGGCCUGGCCAUUUGGACAGGCCGUGUUUAUGUAUUUGCUCGAAAUUAAUGGAGCAGACCCGGAUGUGCGUCGGAGCUAUCCGGAUGAGCGGGGGUCCCUGGAAGGUGGGAACCGCUGUUAUGACCAUGAUGAAGCUGUCCAUUUCCUAUGGACAGCAUUGGAGGGGCCUGGCUAUUUGGACAGGGCAUAUUUAUGUAUUAACUCGAAAUUGAUAGAGCAGACCCGGAUGUGCGUCGGAGCUAUCCGGAUGUUAAGCGGGGGUCCUUGGAAGGUAGGAACCGCUGUUAUGACCAUGAUGAAGCUGUCUAUUUCCUAUGGACAACAUUGGAGGGGCCUGACCAUUUGGACAGGCUGUGUUUAUGUAUUUGUUCAAAAUUAAUGGAGCAGACCCAGAUGUGCGUCAGAGCU